UUCAUUUAUUUCAUUAACUAUUCUCCAGAAAUGUACCUUACCAUUAAAGCUGCAUGGUCUAACCCGACGGCUUUUAACAGUUAUGUUAACAUUACUUGACAAAACAAAAUGCAGUGAUAUUAAUAUAACUUGUGUGCCUCAUUACUAACCUUUGUGUUCCUACAAUUGCAUUAACCAAUGCGCUCUCUUCGCUAGCUAGCUAGGUUAGCUUGUUGUAGCGGUGGAGCGGUGGAAACCACCAAACUCGGUCUGAGCUGGUAUCUCAAAAAAGCAUAAUAUAUACGGGAUAAUGAGGAAGGUUAUUAAAUUGUGGCAUUGAAUUGACAACUUGUUCAGUCCUUUAGCGGCGUAAAGACAACGUAGACCAACUUUUUUAACAUAAGCUUAUGACUUAAGUUAAAUAAAGUUACAGCACAGUAAAGUUGACAUGUUUGUUAACUUCACAGUAGCGCAAAACACUGUUCAACUGCAACAACUUGGUUAUAACUUGUUCGUUAACUAACUAUAAUUAAACAGGUCUUACCUUUGGGGAAACAGCAGCCCUUCAACACGUGGCAGAAGAUGUGCAUGUGGCGCAGAAUGCGUUAGGCGGAAGUGGAAGUUGAUUAAAAACAAGGACCUCCAAAUGAGUAAAAUUCAUCAAUUUCCUGCAUCUUUGACUUUAUUGAUGAAAUAUAAUUAAAGUUUACUCCGUGAUUCACAGCUGAUUUUAUUCAUUCACAAUUAAGUAAAAAGUAAUUAAUAAUUAAACAACAUUUCUUAAACUCAGCUCAAUGUAAUUAAAAACGGUACAUAGUCAUUUUUAUUAUGUAAAAGUUACUAUUAUUUAUUUAGGAGAUAUUAAUUCAUUCAAAUCCCAGUUUUUACAGUGUGUGUCGUUGCCCUGCUGUAACUGAGAUAAUGAUGCUGCGUCGUCUCUGCAUCUCCAGUCGUGAAGAAGAACAAUGUCCUGCAGCUGCAUGUUGAUGCAGCCAGUGAGCACAGCGUCGGCCCCAAACAGAGCCGCUCUGCAGGGUCCAAAGAGACCGUUUACCUGAUGGCGUCACAGUUCCUGGUCUGCCUGCAGGCCUGCCAGACUUCCACGGCUGCAUCCGCCAAGCGACGAUCAACCGCAGACCUGCCAUGCUGUCCAAACCCCUCGCUGUGUGUGGAGCCGUGGGGACGCAGGGCUGCCCACACAUGUAAACCCAAUACACAGUCUUAUCUUCACAUUCCCAAACUGACAAUUACUGGUGAUGGGUGUCAUGUUACUGUAGCUAAUUUAAAAUAUAUAUUCAUAUUUAUUUUCUAUUUUCAGAAAAAAUUACAUUUUAUAUUUUACAGUUUGUUGUUGCAAUAUUACUGGUUUGUUAUUGUACUACAGGGUGCUAUAACAACUGCAUAGAGAUACAAGUGACUGCUACAAGAUAUCAAAUAUCAACUCUAAAAUCUAAAGAUAAUUCUGAAAUGUGAAGUUUAUUGUCAAUAAAGGCAACACUGCUUGAA